GGGCUGGGCGGCAGCUACCAUGCAGUCGAGCGGCAGCACGGGGAGCUUGCUCCCUGGUGGCGAGCGGCGGACGGGUGAGUAAUGCAUAGGAAUCUGCCCGGUAGUGGGGGAUAACGUGGGGAAACCCACGCUAAUACCGCAUACGUCCUACGGGAGAAAGCGGAGGAUCUUCGGACUUCGCGCUAUCGGAUGAGCCUAUGUCGGAUUAGCUAGUUGGUAAGGUAAUGGCUUACCAAGGCGACGAUCCGUAGCUGGUCUGAGAGGAUGAUCAGCCACACUGGGACUGAGACACGGCCCAGACUCCUACGGGAGGCAGCAGUGGGGAAUAUUGGACAAUGGGCGAAAGCCUGAUCCAGCCAUGCCGCGUGUGUGAAGAAGGCUUUCGGGUUGUAAAGCACUUUCAGCGAGGAAGAAGGCCUCUGGGUUAAUACCCCAGAGGAAGGACAUCACUCGCAGAAGAAGCACCGGCUAACUCCGUGCCAGCAGCCGCGGUAAUACGGAGGGUGCGAGCGUUAAUCGGAAUUACUGGGCGUAAAGCGCGCGUAGGUGGCUUGGCACGCCGGUUGUGAAAGCCCCGGGCUCAACCUGGGAACGGCAUCCGGAACGGCCAGGCUAGAGUGCAGGAGAGGAAGGUAGAAUUCCCGGUGUAGCGGUGAAAUGCGUAGAGAUCGGGAGGAAUACCAGUGGCGAAGGCGGCCUUCUGGCCUGACACUGACACUGAGGUGCGAAAGCGUGGGUAGCAAACAGGAUUAGAUACCCUU
rnacentral:rRNA from 1 species